GCAGAAAUCACCUGGAGAUAUUCUUAAAAUGCAGAAUCUAAUUCAGUCCAGCUGCAGCCAGACCUGAAAUUCUACAUGUCUAAUAAUCUUCUGGGUUUUGCUGAU
rnacentral:pre_miRNA from 1 species